UACUAAUAGCAUUAACAACUGAGUCUUAGGGCCAUAAAUCAUUUCUCUAUAUCUAUCUCGCUUGCACUUAUGGGUCUUAUGGAGCCGUCUAGUGAAGGGUGUAACAAUGAAAGACAUAUUAUCGAUAAGUAAAGUUUAUUAUCGUAUCUUGUUCACAAAAUUAAAAAAAUUAACAAUAUUUGAUUUAAUAUAAUACAUAUUUCAUAUUAUAUAAUUAUUAACUAAAUAAAAUUAAUCUUCAUCUGAGUCUUCAUCAUCAGAAUCUUCGUCUUCUGCCAAAUUUAUUAUAUAUUAGUAUCCAUAGUGCGCAACGAGUAACACAUGAAUGUAUUUAUUUAAUUGCAGUAAACACAUUUAUAGCAAAAAAAAUACGCAAUGCAAUUACAUUAGAAACCGACCAAUCAGAAUCGUCCAAAUCAUUAUUGACUCAUCAUUAGCACGUGCGCAGGUAGCCGUUUAUCGAUAAUUAGGGUGCGCAGGUAGCCGUUUAUCGAUAAUUAGGGUGCGCAGGUAGGCGCGCUGCACAUUCC